rnacentral:rRNA from 1 species
ACGUAGGUGGCAAGCGUUGUCCGGAUUUAUUGGGCGUAAAGCGAGCGCAGGCGGUUUCUUAAGUCUGAUGUGAAAGCCCCCGGCUCAACCGGGGAGGGUCAUUGGAAACUGGGAGACUUGAGUGCAGAAGAGGAGAGUGGAAUUCCAUGUGUAGCGGUGAAAUGCGUAGAUAUAUGGAGGAACACCAGUGGCGAAGGCGGCUCUCUGGUCUGUAACUGACGCUGAGGCUCGAAAGCGUGGGGAGCGAACAGGAUUAGAUACCCUGGUAGUCCACGCCGUAAACGAUGAGUGCUAAGUGUUGGAGGGUUUCCGCCCUUCAGUGCUGCAGCAAACGCAUUAAGCACUCCGCCUGGGGAGUACGACCGCAAGGUUG